rnacentral:rRNA from 1 species
GUCUACAGCCAUGCCAUCCUGAAUAAGCCCUAUGUCUGAUCUGGGAAGCUAAGCAGGGUUGGAGCCUGGUUAAUACUUGGAUGGGAGACCACCUAGGGAGACCAGGCACUAUAGAUG